CCUACGGGUGGCAGCAGUAGGGAAUAUUGCUCAAUGGGGGAAACCCUGAAGCAGCAAAGCCGCGUGGAGGAUGACGGUUUUCGGAUUGUAAACUCCUUUUGUUAGAGAAGAUAAUGACGGUAUCCAACGAAUAAGCAACAUUCAACUCCGUGACAGCAGCGGCUGUAAUACGGAGGGUGCGAGCGUUAAUCGGAAUUACUGGGCGUAAAGCGCUCGUAGGCGGUAUGUCAAGUCAAGGGUGAAAUCCCCGCGCUUAACGUGGGAACUGCCUUUGAAACUGGCAAACUGGAGUGUGUGAGAGGAUAGUGGAAUUCCAGGUGUAAGAGUGAAAUCCGUAGAUAUCUGGAGGAACAUCAAUGGCGAAGGCGACUAUCUGGCACAUAACUGACGCUGAGGAGCGAAAGCGUGGGUAGCAAACAGGAUUAGAUACCCGGGUAGUC
rnacentral:rRNA from 1 species